AGUCGAGCGAAUGGAUUAAGAGCUUGCUCUUAUGAAGUUAGCGGCGGACGGGUGAGUAACACGUGGGUAACCUACCCAUAAGACUGGGAUAACUCCGGGAAACCGGGGCUAAUACCGGAUAAUAUUUUGAACUGCAUAGUUCGAAAUUGAAAGGCGGCUUCGGCUGUCACUUAUGGAUGGACCCGCGUCGCAUUAGCUAGUUGGUGAGGUAACGGCUCACCAAGGCGACGAUGCGUAGCCGACCUGAGAGGGUGAUCGGCCACACUGGGACUGAGACACGGCCCAGACUCCUACGGGAGGCAGCAGUAGGGAAUCUUCCGCAAUGGACGAAAGUCUGACGGAGCAACGCCGCGUGAGUGAUGAAGGCUUUCGGGUCGUAAAACUCUGUUGUUAGGGAAGAACAAGUGCUAGUUGAAUAAGCUGGCACCUUGACGGUACCUAACCAGAAAGCC
rnacentral:rRNA from 1 species